rnacentral:rRNA from 1 species
AAUAGAUACCCCGGGUAGUCCACGCCGUAAACGAUGAGUGCUAAGUGUUAGAGGGUUUCCGCCCUUUAGUGCUGCAGCUAACGCAUUAAGCACUCCGCCUGGGGAGUACGGCCGCAAGGCUGAAACUCAAAGGAAUUGACGGGGGGCCCGCACAAGCGGUGGAGCAUGUGGUUUAAUUCGAAGCAACGCGAAGAACCUUACCAGGUCUUGACAUCCUCUGCCAACCCUAGAGAUAGGGGCGUUCCCCUUCGGGGGACAGAGUGACAGGUGGUGCAUGGUUGUCGUCAGCUCGUGUCGUGAGAUGUUGGGUUAAGUCCCGCAACGAGCGCAACCCUUGAUCUUAGUUGCCAGCAUUCAGUUGGGCACUCUAAGGUGACUGCCGGUGACAAACCGGAGGAAGGUGGGGAUGACGUCAAAUCAUCAUGCCCCUUAUGACCUGGGCUACACACGUGCUACAAUGGAUGGUACAAAGAGUUGCGAACCCGCGAGGGUAAGCCAAUCUCAUAAAGCCAUUCUCAGUUCGGA